CGGGAAGUAGCUCAGCUUGGUAGAGCACUUGGUUUGGGACCAAGGGGUCGCAGGUUCGAAUCCUGUCUUCCCGACCU
rnacentral:tRNA from 2 species